rnacentral:lncRNA from 1 species
UCCGUUGGAAUACCUGAUCUCUGAUUGCCAUGUCCAAGAAGUUGUAACAAAGCAAUGAAGUUCUUGUUUCAGUUCCCUUGUUGCUCGUGCUUCUGCUUCAUGAAGACCAAAAAGAGAAAGCCCAAGAAGAAGGAAGGCAAGGGCGAUUGAAAGAAUGUAAGUCUUUGCUUAUGUUCGGCUGUACUGUACAAUAAUGUAAAUGGCUGUCCAUACCUGCGUUUGAGGCUCUCUUGGCAGUAAUCAUCAAUUGUGGCUAUCUGUUUAGCUGAAGUGUAAAAAAUGGCAUGAUAUCUUCUUUUCAAUAAUGAUGCUUUACUUGUUAGUUUCUUUCGUCUUUCUCGAUCACUUCCUUGUUGAGAAUACCAUCUCCUCCAUUCGUUGUUCAGCUGAUUCCAGACCAAUCUGUGCAAGAAAGCUGCCAAAAACAAAGAUCAUUAAAGGUAAGGGAACAUUACAAAAAAGUUUUUAUCUACUGCACAGGUUUAUCCAGUCCGGAAUUACGGAUAGUUUCUGAAGAAAAUUCAGUUUAUCCAUGUGAUCCACUGAAAAAGGAAAGAAUAGGUUUUAAUCUCCAAUUACAAAGGUGCAUCUCAAUUAAAUAAUUCAGAUUCUUCCAGAGGAAGAAGGUUUGCAUAAAUAUGAAGCAGAAAACCUGGCCUCUAUGAAAGGCAGAGGAAGUAAAGUAUUACUGAACAGAGUGAAGAGUGUCAACUGUAAUUAUAUAGUCCAAGAUGCAGAGAGUACAAGGAGGUUUCCAGUAAAGCUAAUGAUCGAUAUAUCUCUUCAAGCAACGAAUAGUAAGUUCAAGCAGUUUGCUUUCAAGAAAGAUCAAAUACAAGUCAUCCAAGACCAGUUACCAUGAUCAUCCAUCCUGUAUCCUUUAAAUUCUGCAAUUUAACCACAGGUCUAUUGAUCCACAAUGCACCUUAAGCCUUUCUUUAGAAGAAGAUUAGCGACCUAAACUGAAGAAGGAUAUUGACAGAUCAUUUAUUGAAGUAUGGAUACAGGAUUAUCAUAACUUCUUCCUAUGAAGAAAUCCUAACACAGACUAGCUCCAUGUCAAUUACUUAGCAAAGAAAACACAAAUGAUAGCACUUUGUGACCAGAAAGUGAAGUCAUUUGCAUCUAACAUAUAGAGCCUAGUAAAUGCAGGCUUCCACUGUUGUUACCAAAUGCAGGUUAUUGCUUGAUUUCUCAGGACACACACACACAACAAAAAAAAAAAAGCAGAGAGAGAAGAGAGAGAGAGCAGAUGAUUUGGUAAAAAAAUUCUGCACACCAGAGUUAAAAUUAUGUACACUUAAUUUGAAGGAAGAAUUAGUUAAUUUUAAGGGAGAAAUACAUCUGCAUGAAUCCAGAAGCUUCACAAACCUGCGGUCAUGAACAGUACACCAUGCUGUCUCUGAUCAUUCCGCAUGAGAGAAAAUAUUUAAUCAUAGCCUCAAGCACUUUUUUGUACAAGUACUGUGUGGUCACGGAGCAGAAAGUGUUUAAUCUCGAGUUAGAUUAGGCUACAUGAAGUAGAUUUAGAAUGAUUUGAAAAAUCUUAAUCCACUUAAAAGAUAAUGGCUAACAGGCACAACAAUGCCUCCAAAACACAAAACAUUUGAAGGCAUAGAAAAGAUAGAUGGUAAUAAUUAUCCUAAGUUGCAGGGAUCAAUGUGUAACAUUAUUUUACAUUUAAUCACAAUUGAAAUGUAAAUUUUUCUUUCUUGUAUAUAAUACAAAGAAUUCUGUUAAUAUUUCUUCGACACUCUCCUCAGUCAGCCACUUUGUGAUAGAUGCAAACAGACCCAAGUCAUUCUUAAGCAUAUAUACAACUAUCACAAAAAAAAAGGGUGCAAAUUAUGAUGAUUCUUAAUUCAUCUUCUAAUUCCUUUUUUUCUAUGAUCAUUUUGUAUAUAGGUAAGCUACUAUUUUAAUCAAAAUAAUAAUUCCCCCCCCUUAGAAAGGGAGCCUGUUAACCCCACUUCACCCUUAGCUUCAACUAACGAAACAACAGAAAGGUGAUGAAGCCUUUCCCUAAGGGAGAGCAAUGGGGAAGAUUGACCAUGGGAAGACAACAGCAAGUUCAUAAAAAAAAUUAUGUAGGUAAAUGAUUUUAAUAUAAGAUGCAUUGCUUUGACUACGGAGAGCAAUGGAGAAGAUUGAGCACCAUGGGAGUACAACAGCAAGUUCAUAAAAAAAAAAAUUAUGUAGGUAAAUCCCUUUAAUAUAAGGCGCAUUGCUUUGACUACGGAGAGGUGAUCGUGAGUGAAGUAGAGAAGUUUCUUUAACCAGUUAGUUCCUCUAGAUAUCUACCUCUACGGUUAUGAAUUUUAUCUUAUUUUUUUUAGGUAUGAUGUGUGAGGACUCGUGAGGGCGUAUGUUUAAUCCCACAUUGGUUAUUUGCUGGAUAGAUCUUGGAUACUUGUACAGAAUCAAGGAAUCCAAAUAAUACCUUCCCGUUGGCCAUUUUGGGUGAGAUUCUGAGUUGUUACAAAUGGUAUCAGAGCGGACCUGUCCCAUAACCUAUGUGGACUGGGGGACACUACAGUAUAGAUUCAUUGGGAUUGACCACGGGCCGAUUAUGAUAUUUGUGAUUAGAUUUGAAUGAAUUUGAACCUUUAGCCUGACGAGAAUGUCAGGGCUUGAACGGAAAAAGUAUGGGAGGACCCGUGCGGGCGUGUGUUUAGUGCUAUAUCGGUUAUUUACUAGAUAGAUCUUCGAUACGCAUACAGGAUCAAGGAACCCAAAUAAUAUUUUUUGGCUGGCCAUUUUGGGUGAGGUCCUACGUUGUUACAUGACGUUAAGAAGUUUCUUUAAUUAUUUUGUCAUUUUAAACAUCAGCACCAAUCUCUUGGUCAAAAUUUUCUCUCCAAUGAAGCAUCACAAACGCAAACUGAAAUGGUACUGCUCAAAAGUUCUGUUGCUACAUUGCAUUUUAAAUUAAUUUCUGAAAUAUUUUAGGUAUAGUAGAGCCACCAAUAUUCCAUUUUUUUAAAAGAAAAUCCAGGGUCCAUAUGAAUGAAUAUAUGUGGCACUGCUCAAAGUCAUCUUGGUUAAUAACCUAAAAGAAUCUAAAAUACAAGGCAGGUUUUACACACCAGUUUGCUUCACUUAGGUUUCCUCUCUUAUUUUCUUGAAAUAUGAGGUUAAGAAGUGUUUUAAAUAUUUUAUUUUAAACAUAACAACAAAUAGCCGGCCAAAAUUUUCUCUCCAAUGAAGCAUAAUAUAUGCAGAGCGAAAAAAUACUACUGCGCGAUAUUUGGAUAAUGGUGAGAGAGGAAGUUACAUUUUAGGCUAUGCAUGUAUAUCGUGAAGCUAACAGUGCGGCCGACUGGAUGGUGACAUAUGUAGCAUGCCACUCAGGAGGCACCCUAAGGACUGGGGAGGGAGAGAUGCCCAGAGCACUUCGGGACCUUUCGUUUUCCGAUUCUAUUGGGUGUAUUCAUACCCGUGAUGUAUGAAAUGUCUAUUUUAGUAUUAAAAAAAAAAUCUAUUGCUAUACUGCGCUUUUGAUUUCUCACUUGAUGAAAAACCGGGCCAAUAUUUUUUAAGGAGAAAAAGAUGUUGCUGUUAUGCUUCCGUUUAAAGUUAUAUGACCUUCUACGCAGGCUUUUUGAUGGUUGUCUGUAAAUGUUAUUAAAAUUAGUAUUGAUGUUGUUUAAGAAAAGGCGAUUUGAUUUUGAGUUUUUAUUUUUUUAAAAAAUAACAAAAUGCAUGAACAUAUGAGUCCAAUUUUGGAUAGCUUGUGAGCUUGAUUUGGCAAUCUGUUAAAAAAAUAAGGAAGUGGGCUGCGUGUGUGUGACAACUUGGAAACGGCCUAUGAGUUUAACUACCAAGUUGUAAAAAAUUCUAUUCAAGUCUUGUGCACCGUACCAGUUAUGUAAUCCAAGAGAGUUUCAGUUCAAUAAAAAAUUAUGAGAUCUUAUCCGUUCAAAAUUCUUUGAAUGUGUCCCCUUUAAAGUUUUUCCACAUUCUUCUCCAAAGCAAACUAUAGUUCAGGAAUAAAAAAGGAUACACGCUUUGUUGAGAACCAUUACAUUGCAUUGGUGCAUAACCAAACUAUAAUAUGUUUUAGGAUAAAGAAAUCAUGCACAAAAACAUAUGGUUUUCUUCUUAAACAUGAUGCAUCUGUGCAAAUAAAGGAUGGUACUGAAGUUAUUCAAGCCUGGUCACGUAAAUGCUAGCACUAAGCAUUGGAACAAAAUGGCAUUAGGCAAAAUACUUCAGAUUUGAAUCCUCACUUAUUAUUACAUAUUAAAUUUUUUGUUUGCUUGUCAUGCAUGAUCCACUAGAGCCAUAUAUAUCAAAAUGUUCCUUUGUUCCAUCUUUAUUAUAAAUAUGACAGUUCAGGAAGUGCAUAAAUUGCCUAUAUAAUUGGAACUAGUUUGGUAUAUGCACUGUAAGAAAAGCUAACAAUAAUAUUUUCAUAAUACAGGGAAGCAUAGAAAAAAGGAUAAAGUUGUACCAUGCAUGCUUCUUCCCUUAAGGUAAAUGGGUCUUAGUUUAUAUAAUUUAUCUUUAUAAACUGAUUUUUCCAAGCUAUCUUUUUUGUUGAUGUUUUAUAAUAUUUAUAUGUAUUUCUAUUUGCUGGAAGGAAACCAAGUUGUAAUAAAGAGCUCCAAAAUGCUUCAGCUUGAUGUGGCAUUAGGUA